CGGGCCUUAGCUCAGCUGGGAGAGCGCCUGCCUUGCACGCAGGAGGUCAUGGUCUGAUCCCGCCAGGCUCAU
rnacentral:tRNA from 1 species